rnacentral:rRNA from 1 species
UACGUAGGGGGCUAGCGUUGUCCGGAUUUAUUGGGCGUAAAGAGCGUGUAGGCGGCCAGGUAGGUCUGCUGUGAAAACUCGAGGCUUAACCUCGAGAUGUCGGCGGAAACCAUCUGGCUAGAGUCCGGAAGAGGAGAGUGGAAUUCCUGGUGUAGCGGUGAAAUGCGCAGAUAUCAGGAAGAACAUCCGUGGCGAAGGCGGCUCUCUGGGACGGUACUGACGCUGAGACGCGAAAGCGUGGGGAGCGAACAGG